GAUAAACGCUGGCGGCGUGCAUAACACAUUCAAGUCGAACGGACUUUAUGGAAUAGUUUACUAGGAAAUAAAGUUAGUGGCGGACGGGUGAGUAACGCGUGAGCAACCUGCCUAUCAGUGGGAAUAACGUUUGGAAACGAACGCUAAUACCGCAUAAUGUACAGGGAUCGCAUGAUUUCUGUACCAAAGAUUUAUUGCUGAUAGAUGGGCUCGCGUCUGAUUAGGUAGUUGGUGAGGUAACGGCCCACCAAGCCGACGAUCAGUAGCCGGACUGAGAGGUUGAACGGCCACAUUGGAACUGAGAAACGGUCCAGACUCCUACGGGAGGCAGCAGUGGGGAAUAUUGGGCAAUGGGGGAAACCCUGACCCAGCGACGCCGCGUGAGGGAAGACGGUCUUCGGAUUGUAAACCUCUUUCAGCAUGGAAGAAUAAUGACGGUACAUGCAGAAGAAGCCACGGCUAACUACGUG
rnacentral:rRNA from 1 species